AACUUCCAGAGCACACCGCGACAGGGGCGAGGGCAGCAGGAGGCAGCGUGCAGGCGUACCCGCGGCGGCCUAGCUGUCGCAGCUGGUAGCGUUGCCCGUCGCCCUCUCAUCACUUUCACUUUGAGAGAUCGAGGCUUUGGGAAAAGCGACAAGGCCUGCGGGGGGGCUAGCGAGCAGCGGGCAGUACACUGGAGACACUCGCAGUAUGCAACCCGGACUGGCUCUUGCACGACAAGGCGAAGGAGGUUGAUGGUGCUGAUUUUAUUCCGAUAGAUUCAAGGGCUCCAGCGCGAAAGGAGACUGUUCGGCCCGCUCUGCCCAUACUAGAGUUUUGAAAGAGGAAUCGUACUAGAAAAGAGGGUGAUGAGUCUUUGGAACUCUGCUUCCAUCACCUAUGAGCAAAAGUUCUGUCCACCACACAAAUGGCAGCCUGUGAACAGACACAGAAAGGGAUAGCAUGUGAGCCUGGGCAGACUCAACUAUCACUAUUAUGUAAAAGAUUGUUCUGUGCCCAGCUCUCUGAGGUCCAGUUUUGCAGACACCAUUCCCUCACUGAAAUGCCUUCAGUGGGGACUGGCCCUUUCACCACAUUCCAGGUGUCCUUGUACUCUACACUGUAGCCUUACUGAGGGCAACUGGGCAACCUGCUGCCAGAACUCAGUGCUGUUGUGUGCUGCUCCCAAGCUGGCUGUGUGAACGUGUAAGAGAGCUGACCAAGGCAGCUCUCCUUGAACCUUUUUUAUUUUAUAUUCAUAAAUGAUAGCCACAGCAGGUUUGUUGAAAGGAAAACUAAGUCUGACAGUUGGUGAAGUUCUGAACUAAUGGAAAGUUGCAGCUGAGAGUUUGUUCAUAAAUUUUCAAAAGGCUUGGUCAAGUGCCACUUGAUGGACUUGUCUGAAUUUUUGAACCCUUGAGAUUAAAGAGAAGGCGGCUGAGAAUCACAGAGCCAAAGAUUGUGGUCCUUCAGACCAGAGGAAUGUGUGCAGUGAUGUUAGGAGCAAUACUGUUUGAAAUUAUGCCCUAUUUACCGAAACUAAAAUCAUUAAUAUCUAUAAAUGUUUGUGGACUAAGUCCAACAGUGGUAUAGUUUGUGGCCCACAUUAUAUAGGAAGCCCAUUGAAUCACACAAUAAUCAGCCCACUGAUUCGAUGCCAGCAGGCUUUCAACCAAAAUAACAAAUACGGUCUAGGAAGUCCCACCUGAGCAGAGCUGCUGGUCAACCAGAUGUUGCGUUCCUAGAACUCAGCAGAAGUUAUAGUUGCUGCAGAGAGAAAACCAUCCAGACCUCAGGUGGAGGAUGGUCAGAGAGGUAAAUGCAGUUUGGGUGUGGGGUUUGGGGAGGUGGGGGCAGAGAAUGUAGCUCUGAGGCAACAAAUUAGUUCAAAUUGAGAGACACCUAUAUUCUACAGUCCCUCUCCAUACAGACUGCCUGCUGGUUUAAUACUUAUGUCGGGUGAUUCUUCCUUGUCCCACCAGGAGCUGCAGUAAUCAUAGCCAAGGUAGGAUAAAGCCUUUAAAUAGGCAGUUAAUUAACCACUUGAAGGCCUCACUUGGAGGUAGGAUCAGGAAGAUUGACCAUGUGUCUUCCCACCUCUAACUUAACUCCCUACUUCCCACCAUCGAGGAGGUGAUCUACCCAGUGUCCUCUCACUCACUUAUUUGCUCUUCCUUUUACCUUCCUGCCCUUUCUUGCAAGGGGAAAAUCCAAUCCUAUGAAUGACAGGCUUGGGGCUGCAAAUUUGACUUGGAUGGUUACACAAAAUUAGUAGUAUCAGACCGGCUGCUCAUUGUCCUGAGUUUGAUAUUUAAUUCCAUUGACUGCAAAGAAACUGAAUGUCAGCCACUGUGUAUAAAAGGACUACUACCAAUGCCACUCAUUUUGUGCCACCAUUUAGGAUGAAUUUCUAGUUCUUGGUGUAUAAUUGCAAAAGCUGGUGUGGUACUGAGUUAUAGCACCAACUUUAAUCUCUGGCCUGCUGACUGUAGUGCAUUGGCCUGGGUGCCUCUGAAAUAUGAGAAUGGAAAAUUCAGCCGUGCUUCCCACUUCUGAUUGUGAUCCUGUGACCCAGCUUGCACAUUUGUGUGUUAGAUAAGGAUAGGGUUGAGCUGAGCUCAGCUGCGUGUCAUCUUGCAGUGUGACGUCCCACUGGCACUUGGCUCUCUAGUCUCAUGCUUGGGUGAAGCAAGGUCAGCAGCCUUGGAACAGGAAGUGGAAGGGACAUGGAGAAGCAAACAAUAUAAAUAAAAUAGAUUCAUACAUCCACUCAGAACCAAAUUUUCAAUGUUUUGACAUUCUUUUAUUGCUCGGUAAAUUAUGCAACAUAAGUUUAGUUCUAUACUCCAUGUUUUAUCCAUCUUUUCCCAUCAACACUCUGAACAGCCAUGGGCAUUGUUCACACUUGAUAGUAAAAUAUUUAUUUUGAUAAAAAUAUUUUUUUUUAAACCUUGAUUUUUAUUUUAAAUACUUUGCCUGUCUUCAUACUUGUUUGGGAACUCUUUUUUUCCGCUACCCCUUUCACCAGUACCAGGCAAUGCUGUUCAGCAAAGAGCAGAAGUAAACCCUUCCAGAAUGCUGUUUGUUGCUUUUUGCUCCAAGAAGAUGAAGCAAGUUACAAGAGUUUGCAUGCCAUGGUGACAGUGAGGUGCGCUAGACCAGUCACCAUCCAGAAGUCAGUACCGUCUGACAUUUUCUAAUUAAUCUGACCAGAGAUAUUAUUACACACCUCUGGAGCAGUUGGAAUUUGAAGCUGGGUCUUCCAUUCCAGAGGUCUGCAAUUACUGUCAACGGAUGGCUUUCCCAGCCCAGCUUGCCUGCCAACCUUUUGCAAAAGCCAUGUUCAAAUUCUGUACCAGCAAGUGACAGUUUACUGUUUGGCAAUUUCGAAACAGAUCCUCCCGGUGAAGCAGAUCUCUUGAGAAUAGAGCAGUGUGUUAUACAAUUGAAAAGAACAGAGAGCUGAAGACAAGAAAGUCAAGAAAUUGUGGAUUGGAGAAGACCCAUUGCUGUUGUUUCAGUAUUUCCAGAGCCCAGCAGACUGUGGUUAAAAGGGUCACAGAAGUGAGACUCUGGGGAUUCUGUGCCAUCAGGACUGUCAUGACACACGUGAGAGAGAGUUCAUAGACAUGCACGUUGUCUGUGGUAACUGUCCUGGACUUUGGAUGCAAUGUAACUGCUGGUGAGUGUGAGUCAAGGGCUGAAAUAAUUGAGUACAAAGUGAAGAAUCCGACAUUGCAGAGUCGCAGUUGGAAAGUCUGUGUGAUGAACUUAGAAUCCCUACAGUGUGGAAAGGCCAUUAGGUUCAACAAGUCCACACCAACUCUCCGAAGAGUAACCCCCAGACUCAUUCCCCUACCCUAUUA